GCACCUAUGGAGCAGUAGUUUAGCUCAUUCCUCUCCCAUCGUGGUUAGGGAAAGACCCGGGUGCGAAUCCCGGUGGGUGCA